CCUACGGGCGGCAGCAGUGAGGAAUAUUGGUCAAUGGGCGGGAGCCUGAACCAGCCAAGCCGCGUGAGGGAAGAAGGUACAGCGUAUCGUAAACCUCUUUUGUCAGGGAACAAAGGCGGGGACUAGUCCCCGGAUGAGGGUACCUGAAGAAAAAGCAUCGGCUAACUCCGUGCCAGCAGCCGCGGUAAUACGGAGGAUGCGAGCGUUAUCCGGAUUUAUUGGGGUUAAAGGGUGCGCAGGCGGCCUGUUAAGUCAGCGGGAAAAGCCCGGGGCUCAACCCCGGCGAGCCGUUGAAACUGGCGGGCUGGAGUUGGAGAGAAGUACGCGGAAUGCGCGGUGUAGCGGUGAAAUGCUUAGAUAUCGCGCAGAACCCCGAUUGCGAAGGCAGCGUACCGGCUCCACACUGACGCUGAGGCACGAAAGCGUGGGUAUCGAACAGGAUUAGAUACCCGAGUAGUC
rnacentral:rRNA from 1 species